rnacentral:rRNA from 1 species
AACGUAGGACGCAAGCGUUAUCCGGAGUUACUGGGCGUAAAGGGCGUGUAGGCGGCGCUUCAAGUUCGUCGUGAAAGACCCCGGCUAAACCGGGGGAGGUCGAGGGAGACUGAAGCGCUGGAGGACGGUAGAGGGACGGGGAAUUCCGGGUGUAGUGGUGAAAUGCGUAGAGAUCCGGAGGAACACCAGUGGCGAAGGCGCUGUCCUGGGCCGUUUCUGACGCUGAGACGCGAAAGCAUGGGGAGCGAACGGG